UACGUAGGGCGCAAGCGUUGUCCGGAAUUAUUGGGCGUAAAGAGCUCGUAGGCGGCCUGUUGCGUCCGCUGUGAAAUCCCGGGGCUCAACCCCGGGCCUGCAGUGGAUACGGGCUGGCUGGAGGCAGGCAGGGGAGAACGGAAUUCCUGGUGUAGCGGUGAAAUGCAUAGAUACCAUAAAGAACACCGAUUGCGAAGGCAGCUUACUAAGCUGUAACUGACGCUGAGGCACGAAAGCGUGGGGAGCGAACAGG
rnacentral:rRNA from 1 species